rnacentral:rRNA from 1 species
GACGAACGCUGUCGGCGUGCUUAACACAUGCAAGUCGAACGGAAAGGCCCUGCUUUUGUGGGGUGCUCGAGUGGCGAACGGGUGAGUAACACGUGAGUAACCUGCCCUUGACUUUGGGAUAACUUCAGGAAACUGGGGCUAAUACCGGAUAGGAGCUCCUGCUGCAUGGUGGGGGUUGGAAAGUUUCGGCGGUUGGGGAUGGACUCGCGGCUUAUCAGCUUGUUGGUGGGGUAGUGGCUUACCAAGGCUUUGACGGGUAGCCGGCCUGAGAGGGUGACCGGCCACAUUGGGACUGAGAUACGGCCCAGACUCCUACGGGAGGCAGCAGUGGGGAAUAUUGCACAAUGGGCGGAAGCCUGAUGCAGCAACGCCGCGUGCGGGAUGACGGCCUUCGGGUUGUAAACCGCUUUCGCCUGUGACGAAGCGUGAGUGACGGUAAUGGGUAAUGAAGCACCGGCUAACUACGUGCCAGCAGCCGCGGUGAUACGUAGGGUGCGAGCGUUGUCCGGAUUUAUUGGGCGUAGAGGGCUCGUAGGUGGUUGAUCGCGUCGGAAGUGUAAUCUUGGGGCUUAACCCUGAGCGUGCUUUCGAUACGGGUUGACUUGAGGAAGGUAGGGGAGAAUGGAAUUCCUGGUGGAGCGGUGGAAUGCGCAGAUAUCAGGAGGAACACCAGUGGCGAAGGCGGUUCUCUGGGCCUUUCCUGACGCUGAGGAGCGAAAGCGUGGGGAGCGAACAGGCUUAGAUACCCUGGUAGUCCACGCUGUAGACGGUGGGUACUAGGUGUGGGGUCCAUUCCACGGGUUCCGUGCCGUAGCUAACGCUUUAAGUACCCCGCCUGGGGAGUACGGCCGCAAGGCUAAAACUCAAAGGAAUUGACGGGGCCCCGCACAAGCGGCGGAGCAUGCGGAUUAAUUCGAUGCAACGCGUAGAACCUUACCUGGGUUUGACAUGGAUCGGGAGUGCUCAGAGAUGGGUGUGCCUCUUUUGGGGUCGGUUCACAGGUGGUGCAUGGCUGUCGUCAGCUCGUGUCGUGAGAUGUUGGGUUAAGUCCCGCAACGAGCGCAACCCUUGUUCACUGUUGCCAGCACGUUAUGGUGGGGACUCAGUGGAGACCGCCGGGGUCAACUCGGAGGAAGGUGGGGAUGACGUCAAGUCAUCAUGCCCCUUAUGUCCAGGGCUUCACGCAUGCUACAAUGGCUGGUACAGAGAGUGGCGAGCCUGUGAGGGUGAGCGAAUCUCGGAAAGCCGGUCUCAGUUCGGAUUGGGGUCUGCAACUCGACCUCAUGAAGUCGGAGUCGCUAGUAAUCGCAGAUCAGCAACGCUGCGGUGAAUACGUUCCCGGG